rnacentral:rRNA from 1 species
GCGAUUGGGACCCUUCCGAUUCCAAGAAGUGCCGCCGGGGUUUGCCAUCUAUCCCUUUGCCUUCUCUCUCUCACCAGGUUUAGGCUUAGGUUUUUCGAUGUAUUUCCGGUUAAUCUUUUUGGAGAGGUCAGCAUCAGCUACUCGGAAUUGAUUUCGUUCAAAGAAGGUAGGUUCCUUGUGGACCCUUAUAACUUUGUUCUUUCCUUUUCCUUGUGGCUGAGGAGUGUUUUGGUUUCCGAGCUCCACUUUCGAGUACUCGGUUUCUGUGAUGCUGGCUUAAUCGGUUCCAACCGACCCGUCUUGAAACACGGACCAAGGAGUCUAACAUAUGUGCGAGUAUGCGGGUUUUACUCCUGUAUGCGCAAUGAAAGUGAGAGUAGGGAGAUUUUGGCUUUGCCAUUCUUCGCACCUACGACCGACCACGAUCUCUGAGAGAGGUUUGAGUUGGAGCAUAUCUGUUAGGACCCGAAAGAUGGUGAACUAUGCCUGAGUAGAAUGAAGUCAGGGGAAACCCUGAUGGAGGUUCGUAGCGAUACUGACGUGCAAAUCGUUCGUCAAACUUGGGUAUAGGGGC